rnacentral:rRNA from 1 species
AUGCAAGUCGAGCGCGGGAAGCAAGCAGAUCCCCUUCGGGGGUGACGCAUGUGGAACGAGCGGCGGACGGGUGAGUAACACGUGGGCAACCUGCCUGUAAGACUGGGAUAACUCCGGGAAACCGGGGCUAAUACCGGAUAAUACGUUUUCUUGCAUAAGGAGACGUUAAAAGGCGGCGCAGCUGUCACUUACAGAUGGGCCCGCGGCGCAUUAGCUAGUUGGUGGGGUAAAAGCCUACCAAGGCGACGAUGCGUAGCCGACCUGAGAGGGUGAUCGGCCACACUGGGACUGAGACACGGCCCAGACUCCUACGGGAGGCAGCAGUAGGGAAUCUUCCGCAAUGGACGAAAGUCUGACGGAGCAACGCCGCGUGAGUGAAGAAGGUUUUCGGAUCGUAAAACUCUGUUGUUAGGGAAGAACAAGUGCCGUUCAAAUAGGGCGGCACCUUGACGGUACCUAACCAGAAAGCCCCGGCUAACUACGUGCCAGCAGCCGCGGUAAUACGUAGGGGGCAAGCGUUGUCCGGAAUUAUUGGGCGUAAAGCGCGCGCAGGCGGUCUUUUAAGUCUGAUGUGAAAGCCCACGGCUUAACCGUGGAGGGCCAUUGGAAACUGGAGGACUUGAGUACAGAAGAGGAGAGUGGAAUUCCACGUGUAGCGGUGAAAUGCGUAGAGAUGUGGAGGAACACCAGUGGCGAAGGCGACUCUCUGGUCUGUAACUGACGCUGAGGUGCGAAAGCGUGGGUAGCGAACAGGAUUAGAUACCCUGGUAGUCCACGCCGUAAACGAUGAGUGCUAGGUGUUAGGGGGUUUCCGCCCCUUAGUGCUGCAGUUAACGCAUUAAGCACUCCGCCUGGGGAGUACGGCCGCAAGGCUGAAACUCAAAAGAAUUGACGGGGACCCGCACAAGCGGUGGAGCAUGUGGUUUAAUUCGAAGCAACGCGAAGAACCUUACCAGGUCUUGACAUCCUCUGACGCCCCUAGAGAUAGGGAGUUCCCUUCGGGGACAGAGUGACAGGUGGUGCAUGGUUGUCGUCAGCUCGUGUCGUGAGAUGUUGGGUUAAGUCCCGCAACGAGCGCAACCCUUGAUCUUAGUUGCCAGCAUUUAGUUGGGCACUCUAAGGUGACUGCCGGUGACAAACCGGAGGAAGGUGGGGAUGACGUCAAAUCAUCAUGCCCCUUAUGACCUGGGCUACACACGUGCUACAAUGGAUGGAACAAAGGGCAGCGAAGCCGUGAGGCCAAGCAAAUCCCACAAAACCAUUCUCAGUUCGGAUUGCAGGCUGCAACUCGCCUGCAUGAAGCCGGAAUCGCUAGUAAUCGCGGAUCAGCAUGCCGCGGUGAAUACGUUCCCGGGUCUUGUACACACCGCCCGUCACACCACGAGAGUUGGUAACACCCGAAGUCGGUGAGGUAACCGUAAGGAGCCA